rnacentral:rRNA from 1 species
UACGAAGGGUGCAAGCGUUAUUCGGAAUGAUUGGGCGUAAAGGGUGCGCAGACGGUAUGUUAAGUCAACUGUUAAAUUUCCCAGCCUAACUGGGAGCAAGCAGUAGAAACUGGCUGUACUAGAGGAUGGAAGAGAGAAGUGGAAUUCUCGGAGUAGCGGUAAAAUGCGUAGAUCUCGAGAGGAACACCGAUGGCGAAGGCAGCUUCUUGGUCCAUUUCUGACGUUCAAGCACGAAAGCGUGGGGAGCAAACAGG